rnacentral:rRNA from 1 species
UCGCUCCUACCGAUUGGGUGAUCCGGUAAAAAAUUCGGACUGCAGUGUAUCCUAAGUUCUCUUGGGCUAUGCCGCGGGAAGUCUUAUGAACCUUAUCACUUGGAGGAAGGAG